AGGAGGAACAACCCCAGUGGCGGCGGCCAGUUCUGGAACCCUGGCUUCAGCUCCCGCAGUAACUACAGAGCUGUCCUCUCCGUCUGCAGGGGCCUGGAUGUUCCGGGGCGGG
rnacentral:pre_miRNA from 1 species